CACGUAGGCACCAAGCGUUGUCCGGAUUUAUUGGGCGUAAAGAGCUCGUAGGCGGUUCAGUAAGUCGGGUGUGAAAACUCUGGGCCUAACCCGGAGAGGCCACUCGAUACUGCUGAACUUGAGUACGGUAGGGGAGUGGGGAAUUCCUGGUGUAGCGGUGAAAUGCGCAGAUAUCAGGAGGAACACCGAUGGCGAAGGCAGGUCUCUGGGCUGACACUGACGCUCAUGCACGAAAGCGUGGGGAGCAAACAGG
rnacentral:rRNA from 1 species